UGCCUUCUUCCACAGGCUUUUCACAGGCCAGUGGACAGCCCGAGGAUCAUGAGCCAUAUGUCAAAGUGGAUGGGAUGACUGGGUCAAUACCUGCAAACUCUCAGCAAGAGGUAGCUAGCAUCCACGCUUCUUGCAUCACUCCAAAUGUGUCUGCUGCUUCUGCUGUUAAGUUAACAAGCCCAGAGAGGAUCACAGCCUUGCAUCGAGAGCUAAGUCAAAACCCUCACAAAAUUUGCCAGGUACCUUCAGCUGUCUCUAUCUCAAAUCCAAAGGCCGGCUGCACCUUGCCCACGAUGCAGGAGGAAGCUCCUUGGCCUCUGCUGUCAAGGAGGAAGGAUGCCCUGGUGCCUCCAGAGCGUGGUGCUUUCUGGGCCACGAAGGGGAGGGAUCGGUUGUCGACAUGUGAUGAUGUAUUUUGGGGUCAAGUGGGAAAUCAGCAUGCAGGUGCUAUUCCCCAGGGAUUGAAACAGAAAAAUUCCAUUAUGAAUAAGGCAUGGCUCUCUAGAGAAAAAACAGAUGGCUCUACCUCAGCUACCGCAGCAAAAAGCUAUUUGUCAGACGUGUUGUCGGCGAGUAAUAAAGGUCAAAAUCCUGUGGGGAGAAAUCAGCUGCACGGGAAAGAAUAAAACCCACAAAAAUAAAACAAGGGAUGAGGUUGCCAGUUGGUUUGGUCUGCAUUAAACAGUGGGAAGAGGCAGCCCGGUGGUUGGUUCAGAGCAAUGAUGACAAUGAAUUAAGACGUUGCAACAUGGCUUUCAUUGCAGAAUACAAGUUGAAGAUGGGAACACAGAAAAGAGACUUUGAGUAGAAGGGGAGCGACAAGAACAUGUUUCAGACCAUCCCAGAAUCCAAGACCAGCUCUGCUGUUACAAAGCCAUAUUUCUCUUUGUAAUAUUCAUUAUAAAAGGGAAAGAGCCUGAUUCCUGAAAAAAAUCCUUGGAAGCUGUGGAUAGCAAAGGCUGGGAGAAUUUAUCAGUCACACAGAAGAAGCUGUACUGCUCCGAGGAAAGAUGAAAGUUGCUUUGACCUGGUGACUGCAGCUGCUUCAUCAUGGGAAAAACCACAAUUUGCCCUGAGUUACCACCUGCCACAUUUUAGCCAUCUCCUGUAGUGGAAGCUGGCCAUGAGGGCUAACCCAGUGUGUGUGGUUUGAGUUUUCAUUCUGCUUUGGUUUUUGGGGAUCUCACCGUUUGCAUUUUAAAGAAUUUCUUAAGUUAAGCACAGAUCUCAGUCUCCAUGGGUGUGCUUUUGUGGACAUGUUAUAUCUUCAGCCUCAUAUGGCUUUGGGCAGUCCUGAAAGAGUCUUUGAUCUGAGUUAGAGUGUUUUGUUUUUUCUGAGGAUGUGGUACUUCAGGGUACAAACUGUUUAGGAAAUGAGACAGAACUGCACUUUUGCAAGGGUAAACAGGAGCUGGGAAUGUACUUCUUGUGCACUGAGAGGCACUUGGAACAUCAAGUGCUGUGUCCUAGUAGUCCAGAUUGAUUAUUUCAAACACAUGAACAGGCCAUACUGAAUUUAACUUUCAGAUAAGGCACUUGCAUACAUGAUCUCCUCUUUCUGAAAUAGGUGGGUUUGUGCACACUGGUUGGUAACAGGAUAUGUGAUGAAAUCACAUUUUGCAACCAUGCUCCACAAUAGAGAUUUAUGUACCCAAAAGCCCCACUAUUCAUGUGCGAGUGCCCACUUGUGAAAGCAGGGAGAUGUGAAUGCAGGCACAAGGCUCGUGCAUCACAUGGGUGCCUCCUCUCCUCCUUCAGCUUAAGGCACACAGCACUGUUGAAGUCACU